AUUGAACGCUGGCGGCAUGCUUUACACAUGCAAGUCGAACGGUAACAGGCCGCAAGGUGCUGACGAGUGGCGAACGGGUGAGUAAUGCAUCGGAACGUGCCCAGUCGUGGGGGAUAACGCAGCGAAAGCUGCGCUAAUACCGCAUACGAGCUAUGGAUGAAAGCGGGGGACCGUAAGGCCUCGCGCGAUUGGAGCGGCCGAUGUCAGAUUAGGUAGUUGGUGGGGUAAAGGCUCACCACGCCAACGAUCUGUAGCUGGUCUGAGAGGACGACCAGCCACACUGGGACUGAGACACGGCCCAGACUCCUACGGGAGGCAGCAGUGGGGAAUUUUGGACAAUGGGCGCAAGCCUGAUCCAGCAAGGCCGCGUGCAGGAAGAAGGCCUUCGGGUUGUAAACUGCUUUUGUACGGAACGAAACGGUCCUGGUUAAUACCCGGGGCUAAUGACGGUACCGUAAGAAUAAGCACCGGCUAACUACGUGCCAGCAGCCGCCGUAAAAC
rnacentral:rRNA from 1 species